rnacentral:rRNA from 1 species
CCUACGGGAGGCAGCAGUAGGGAAUUUUCCACAAUGGGCGAAAGCCUGAUGGAGCAACGCCGCGUGGGUGAAGAAGGUCUUCGGAUCGUAAAACCCUGUUGUUAGAGAAGAACGAGGGUGAGAGUAACUGUUCACGCUUCGACGGUAUCUAACCAGAAAGCCACGGCUAACUACGUGCUAGGAGCCGCGGUAAUACGUAGUUGGCAAGCGUUGUCCGGAUUUAUUGGGCGUAAAGGGAACGCAGGCGGGCUUUUAAGUCUGAUGUGAAAGCCUUCGGCUUAACCGGAGUAGUGCAUUGGAAACUGGGAGACUUGAGUGCAGAAGAGGAGAGUGGAACUCCAGGUGUAGCGGUGAAAUGCGUAGAUAUAUGGAAGAACACCAGUGGCGAAGGCGGCUCUCUGGUCUGUAACUGACGCUGAGGUUCGAAAGCGUGGGUAGCAAACAGGAUUAGAUACCCUUGUAGUC